rnacentral:rRNA from 1 species
CCUACGGGGGGCUGCAGUGGGGAAUAUUGGACAAUGGGCGAAAGCCUGAUCCAGCCAUGCCGCGUGUGUGAAGAAGGCCUUCGGGUUGUAAAGCACUUUCAGUGGGGAAGAAAGCCUUGGGGCUAAUACCCUCGAGGAAGGACAUCACCCACAGAAGAAGCACCGGCUAACUCCGUGCCAGCAGCCGCGGUAAUACGGAGGGUGCGAGCGUUAAUCGGAAUUACUGGGCGUAAAGCGCGCGUAGGCGGUCUGAUAAGUCGGUUGUGAAAGCCCCGGGCUCAACCUGGGAACGGCAUCCGGAACUGUCAGGCUAGAGUGCAGGAGAGGAAGGUAGAAUUCCCGGUGUAGCGGUGAAAUGCGUAGAGAUCGGGAGGAAUACCAGUGGCGAAGGCGGCCUUCUGGACUGACACUGACGCUGAGGUGCGAAAGCGUGGGUAGCAAACAGGAGUAGAUACCCGAGUGU